rnacentral:rRNA from 1 species
UACGUAGGCAGCGAGCGUUGUUCGGAGUUACUGGGCGUAAAGGGUGUGUAGGCGGCCACUUAAGUCCUGCGUGAAAUCUUGCGGCUCAACCGCAAGCGGUCGUGGGAAACUGGGUGGCUAGAGUGCGGGAGAGGAGAGUGGAAUUCCUGGUGUAGCGGUGGAAUGCGCAGAUAUCAGGAAGAACACCCGUGGCGAAGGCGGCUCUCUGGAACGCAACUGACGCUGAGACGCGAAAGCGUGGGGAGCAAACAAG